rnacentral:rRNA from 1 species
UGACGCAGCAACGCCGCGUGAGGGAAGAAGGCCUUCGGGUCGUAAACCUCUGUCAGGAGGGAAGAAGUGCAUGGAUUCCAAUAGGGUCUGUGUUUGACGGUACCUCCAAAGGAAGCACCGGCUAACUCCGUGCCAGCAGCCGCGGUAAU